GUCGAGCGAAGCGAUAAGGUGAAAUUUUUCGGAAUGAAGCCAUAUUGACUUAGCGGCGGACGGGUGAGUAACGCGUGGGUAACCUGCCUCAUACAGGGGGAUAACAGUUAGAAAUGACUGCUAAUACCGCAUAAGCGCACGGGACUGCAUGGUCCGGUGUGAAAAACCGAGGUGGUAUGAGAUGGACCCGCGUCUGAUUAGCUGGUUGGCGGGGUAACGGCCCACCAAGGCGACGAUCAGUAGCCGACCUGAGAGGGUGGCCGGCCACAUUGGGACUGAGACACGGCCCAAACUCCUACGGGAGGCAGCAGUGGGGAAUAUUGCACAAUGGGGGAAACCCUGAUGCAGCAACGCCGCGUGAGUGAAGAAGUAUUUCGGUAUGUAAAGCUCUAUCAGCAGGGAAGAGAAUGACGGUACCUGACUAAGAAGCCCCGGCUAACUACGUGCCAGCAGCCGCGGUAAUACGUAGGGGGCGAGCGUUAUCCGGAUUUACUGGGUGUAAAGGGAGCGUAGACGGUUCUGCAAGUCUGAAGUGAAAGCCCGUGGCUUAACCGCGGAACGGCUUUGGAAACUGUGGAACUGGAGUGCUGGAGAGGCAAGCGGAAUUCCUAGUGUAGCGGUGAAAUGCGUAGAUAUUAGGAGGAACACCAGUGGCGAAGGCGGCUUGCUGGACAGUAACUGACGUUGAGGCUCGAAAGCGUGGGGAGCAAACAGGAUU
rnacentral:rRNA from 1 species